rnacentral:rRNA from 1 species
GAUGAACGCUAGCGACAGGCUUAACACAUGCAAGUCGAACGAGAAUCAACGGAUUGAGGACUCGUCCAAAUGAAGUUGAGGAAAGUGGCGGACGGGUGAGUAACGCGUGAGGAACCUGCCUCGGAGUGGGGAAUAACAGCUGGAAACAGCUGCUAAUACCGCAUAAUGCAACGGAAUCGCAUGACUCUGUUGCCAAAGAUUUAUCGCUCUGAGAUGGCCUCGCGUCUGAUUAGCUAGUUGGCGGGGUAACGGCUCACCAAGGCGACGAUCAGUAGCCGACCUGAGAGGUUGAUCGGCCACAUUGGGACUGAGACACGGCCCAG